rnacentral:rRNA from 1 species
GAUGAACGCUGGCGGCGUGCCUAAUACAUGCAAGUCGAGCGAACGGACGAGAAGCUUGCUUCUCUGAUGUUAGCGGCGGACGGGUGAGUAACACGUGGAUAACCUACCUAUAAGACUGGGAUAACUUCGGGAAACCGGAGCUACUACCGGAUAAUAUUUUGAACCGCAUGGUUCAAAAGUGAAAGACGGUCUUGCUGUCACUUAUAGAUGGAUCCGCGCUGCAUUGGCUAGUUGGUAAGGUAACGGCUUACCAAGGCAACAAUGCAUAGCCGACCUGAGAGGGUGAGCGGCCACACUGCAACUGAGACACGAUCCAGACUCCUACGAGAGGCAGCAGUAGGGAAACUUCCGCAAUGGGCGAAGGCCUGAAGGAGCAACGCCGCGUGAGUGAUGAUGGUCUUCGGAUCAUAAGACUCUGUUAUUAGGGAAGAACAUAUAUGUAAGUAACUGCGCACAUCUUGACGGUACCUAAUCAGAAAGCCACGGCUAACUACGUG